rnacentral:rRNA from 1 species
CAGCAGCCACGGUAAUACGGAGGGUGCAAGCGUUAAUCGGAAUUACUGGGCGUAAAGCGCACGCAGGCGGUCUGACAAGUCAGAUGUGAAAUCCCCGGGCUUAACCUGGGAACUGCAUUUGAAACUGUCAGGCUGGAGUCUUGUAGAGGGGGGUGGAAUUCCAGGUGUAGCGGUGAAAUGCGUAGAGAUCUGGAGGAAUACCGGUGGCGAAGGCGGCCCCCUGGACAAAGACUGACGCUCAGGUGCGAAAGCGUGGGGAGCAAACAGGAUUAGAUACUCCAGUAGUCCCUGUCUCUUAUAC